GUGCCAGCAGCCGCGGUAAGACGAACCGUCCAAACGUUAUUCGGAAUCACUGGGCUUAAAGGGUGCGUAGGCGGCACGGCAAGUUGGGUGUGAAAUCCCUCGGCUCAACCGAGGAAUUGCGCCCAAAACUGCCGCGCUCGAGGGAGACAGAGGUGAGCGGAACUUAGGGUGGCGCGGUGAAAUGCGUUGAUAUCCUAAGGAACACCGGUGGCGAAAGCGGCUCACUGGGUCUCUUCUGACGCUGAGGCACGAAAGCUAGUGGAGCGAACGGGAUUAGAUACCCCGGUAGUCCUAGCUGUAAACGAUGAGAACUGGGUCGGAGAGUCUUCCAUAACUUUCCGGCCGAAGCGAAAGUGUUAAGUGCUCCGCCUGGGGAGUAUGGUCGCAAGGCUGAAACUUAAAUGAAUUGGCGGGG
rnacentral:rRNA from 1 species